GGCGAUUCCAGCUACUUGGAGCUAUUUUCAUUUCUCUGACCAAUAUUUCCCCGUGUACUGGUCUUGAAGGGUUGGUGCUCCCAUGUACCUGUUGGCCUUGUCCUUCUUGAUAGUCCAGGCUGCUGGAGAACUUUGAGAAUCUUCCAGGCCCGUUGACAUGAGGAUAGUCGGUGAUGCUUGAUCUGGUGAGACAGAGACAAUAGAUCUGAGAUUUGCUGCUGCAGUUCCAAGCUGAUGUUAUUUUCUGCAAGGAUGAGGCUCCGCAUGGAGGUGGGAUAAUUUUGCACCAUAUCCAGAAAUAUCUGAAAGAGGCAGAGCAAAAGCAGAGUUAUAGCAUCAUCCGUGGGUUACUGCUGCCUGUAAGCUAUUAUAACUUCCCAACCUUGUCCUGGGUAAUAUUCACCAAUGGAUACAUAUCACAAGUCUUCAAAGAUAAAAGAUCUCCACUCCAUCAGUGGAAAUCUACCUCUUUUACCAAUCUUUUUAUCACUUGUAAAAAUUAUGUAUAAUUUGUUUUUCUUGCAAAUGCUGCUUAUAUGAUGCUAUGUGCCUGUGAUGCUGCUGCAAGCAAGUUUUUAAUUGCACCUGUGCAUAGAUGUACUUGUGCAUAUGGCA